rnacentral:ncRNA from 1 species
AAAUAAUUUGGUUAUGGUUACUAAAUUAGCUACAUUAUUAAACAACACAUGCAAGUAAUUACACCCCCGUAAACAUAUAAUUAAAAUCUAAAAGAAAUAAAAAUUUAUAUUAAUAAAAAUAAAAAUAAAAACUACGCCUGCAGUGAAAAAUACUGAUAAAAUUAAGAAAAUAAGAUACGGUAAAUAAUAAAAAGACUGACAAAAUUCGUGCCAGCAGCCGCGGUUAAACGAAAAGUCUAAGCUAAUUAAAACGGAGCAUUGAAAAAUAUAAAUUGAUAAUAAAAAAUAUAAAAAGGUACAAUUUUAUAAACAAAUAAAUUAUAUUAUCUAUAUAAAAAUUCAACAAAGUUAAAACCAAAACAAGGAUUAGAUACCCUUCUAUUUUUAACCACAAAUCUUAACUCCUGGCACUACGAGUACAUACUUAAAACCUAAGAACUUGGCGGUGUCUCAACAUACUAGGGGAGCCUGUUUUUUAAUCGAUAAUCCACGAUACCCUCAACCUAAACUAGAAAUUCAGCUUGUGUACUGCCGUCUAAAGUUUACAUAGCAAUAUAGUGAACUAUAAAGAUAACCUCUUUCACGUCAGGUCAAAGUGCAGCCUAUGCUUAGGACAAAAUGGGCUACAUUUUAUAAACAUCCGGACUUCUAAUUAAAAACAGCACGAAGUUGGACUUAGCAGUAAAAUAUAAAUAAUUUAUAUUAUUGAAGAAGCAAAAUGAGACAUGCACACAUCGCCCGUCGCUCUUUCUGAAAAGAAAGAUAAGUCGUAACAUAGUUAGUGUAAUGGAAAUUGCACUUAUCGAAAU